UCCAGGAUGGCUGAGUGGUUAAGGCAGUGGACUUGAGAUUCAAUAAACAAAUGUCCAUGGGUUCAAACCCCACACCUGAUA
rnacentral:tRNA from 1 species